rnacentral:tRNA from 3 species
GGCCGCGUGGCCUAAUGGUUAGGGCGUCGGAUUUCGGCUCCGAAGGAUGUGCGUUCGAAUCGCAUCGUGGUCG